ensembl:lncRNA
AUGGGGUGUCCCUAUGUAUUGUCCCUAUGUGUUGUCCCUAUGGGGCGGUUCUAUGGGGUGGUGCUAUGGGGUGGCCCUAUGGGCUGCCCCUAUGUGUUGGCCCUAUGGGGUGAUGCUAUGGAUUGGCCCUAUAUAUUGUCCCUAUGGGGUGGCCCUAUAUGUUGUCCCUAUGGGGUGUCCCUAUGUGUUGUCCCUAUGUGCUGUCCCUAUGUGCUGUUCCUAUGGGGCGGCUCUAUGGGGUGGCGCUAUGGGGUGUCCCUAUGGUUUGGCUCUAUGGGGUGGCCCUAUGGUUUGGCCCUAUGUGCUGCCCCUAUGUGUUGUCCCUAUGUGCUGUCCCUAUGGGGCAGUUCUAUGGGGUGGUUCUAUAGGGCAGCGCUAUGGGGUGUCCCUAUGGUUUGGCUCUAUGGGGUGGCCCUAUGGGGUGGCGCUAUGGGGUGGCCCUAUGGGGUGAUGCUAUGGGUGACCCUAUGUACUGCCCCUAUGUGCUGUUCCUAUGGGGUGUCCCUAUGUAUUGUCCCUAUGUGUUGUCCCUAUGGGGCGGUUCUAUGGGGUGGCGCUAUGGGGUGGCCCUAUGGUUCGGCUCUAUGGGGUGGCCCUAUGGGGUGGCCCUAUGUGCUGCCCCUAUGUGCUGUCCCUAUGGGGUGUCCCUAUGCAUUGUCCCCAUGUGCUGCCCCUAUGGGGUGGUUCUAUGGGGCAGCACUGACCCCUAUGUGCUGCCCUAUGCAUUGUCCCCAUGUGCUGCCCCUAUGUGUGGGUUCUAUGGGGCAGCUCUAUGGGGCAGCCCUAUGGGUCGUUUCUAUGGGGCAGUGCUGACCCCUAUGUAUUGUCCCCAUGUGCUGCCCCUAUGGGUCGUUUCUAUGGGGCAGCACUGACCCCCAUGUGCUGUCCCCAUGUGCUGCCCCUAUGGGUUGGUUAUGGGGCCGCCCCAUAGCUCUGUCCGCGGCUCCUCUCCCCCCCCCCUUCUCUUUCCCUACAAAAACCCUUUUUAUAUGGGAUUUAUGGGAUUUCUGCCCUCCCCCCCCCGCCGCCCCAUAGGCCGCUAUAAAUACCCGGGCGGGGCGCUGCGGUUUGGGGCGGGAUCGGCCGAUUUUGGUUAAAAAAAUACAAACACGUGGAAAAAAAAAGUGGAGAUUUUUAGUUUGGGGUCGGAGGGGAGUAAUGGGAUCCUAUGGGAGUAAUGGGAUCCUAUGGGACUAAUGGGAUCCUAUGGGUUUCUAUGGGGUUCUAUAGGAUUGGAUGGGGUUAAUGGGAUUCUAUGGGGUUCUAUAGGAUUGGAUGGGGUUAAUGGGAUCCUAUGGGAUUCUAUGGGGUUCUAUAGGAUUGGAUGGUGUUAAUGGGAUCCUAUGGGGUUUAUGGGAUCCUAUGGGGCUGAUGGAAUUCUAUGGGGUUGAUGGGAUCCUAUGGGGUUCUAUAGGAUUCUAUGGGGCUGAUGGGAUUCUAUGGGAUUCUAUAGGAUUGGAUGGGGUUGGGUGGGAUCCUAUGGGGCUGAUGGGAUCCUAUGGGAUUCUAUAGGAUUGGAUGGGGUUGAUGGGAUUCUAUGGGGCUGAUGGGAUUCUAUGGGGUUAAUGGGAUUCUAUGGGGCUGAUGGGAUUCUAUGGGGUUUAUGGGAUCCUAUGGGGUUCAAUAGGAUUCUAUGGGGCUGAUGGGAUCCUAUGGGGUUCUAUAGGGUUGGAUGGGGUUUAUGGGAUCCUAUGGGGUUCUAUAGGAUUCUAUGGGGUUUAUGGGAUCCUAUGGGGUUCUAUAGGAUUCUAUGGGGUUGAUGGGAUCCUAUGGGGUUCUAUAGGACUGCAUGGCGUUGAAUUCAGCUCGGCAU